GGCCAGGUGGCGAAAUGGCAGACGCGUAGGUCUCAAAAACCUAUGUUUCGAAAGAAACUUGAGGGUUCAACUCCCUCCCUGGCCAC
rnacentral:tRNA from 1 species